AGCAGGGGGCGCUGUGAGGUAAUGGCUAGUCUUCUCCCGAGACCUCUGGAACGUAGCGUAAAAGGCCAGGAGGGGAAGCCGGCUAAGGGGCGUUCUAUCUUCGACUGCCCUGGUCUCUAUCACCCUUUGUCCUCCAGCCUCCCCUGCGCGCAGGGCCUGCGGGCCUGGUUGCUAGGCGGAAGCGGGGCGCGGUGGCGGCCGCGGCGGCUGCCCGGGCGUUUGAAAAGCGGCUACGCGGGCGGCAAAAGACCCCGCCUGUGGGCCGCCGACCGCGACCAUGGUCUCCAAGUCCGACCAACUGCUCAUCGUCGUGUCCAUCCUCGAAGGU
rnacentral:lncRNA from 1 species